NNNAAGAAAGAAAGAAAGAAAGAAAGAAAGAAAGAAAGAAAGAAAGAAAGAAAGAAAGAAAGAAAGAAAGAAAGAAAAGAAAGAGAAAGAGAAGAGAAGAGAAGAGAAGAGAAGAGAAGAGAAGAGAGAAGAGAAGAGAAGAGAAGAGAAGAGAAGAGAAGAGAAGAGAAGAGAAGAGAAGAGAAGAGAAGAGAAAGAGAACGAGGAGAAUAAAAAAAGACCCCAAAAAUAAAAGGAAAGGAAAAGAAAAGAGGAAAAAGGAACGUGCUGGCUCCAGCAUUGCUCUGGCUACUGGGGCACAAGCUCUGGCAUGGGUUUCUCACUUGCUGUGGACAGUGUACUGGCUCAGAGCUUUCUGGACAAGUGUUGCCCCACCUCCACGUGGCCCCUUCUCCAGCCGUGUCUUGUUCUUCCUCACGGUUAUCACCAACAAUCCUUUUUUGUUGUUACCAGCAGUCCUUGGCUGGCCCCACAGCCGUGCAGCUGUUGGUGUUUGGGACAGACACACCAGCCCUAGCUGGGCACCAGGGUCCUGCCAGCCCACUCCUGGUCCCUCCUGCCAUCCAGACUGUCCCGACUCCCAGUCUGGUGGGACACUGUCGGAACCCAGGAAAUUCCUCUGGCUGCCCUGGAGGGCUCGAGCCCCUUCCCAGGGGGCUCAGAGACCUUGGCACAGAGCCCAAGACCCCUGUGCCUUUGAUUUAGCCCUUGGAGAAAACAAUUACCAACCUUAUUUACAAGCCUUAAUUACAAGCCACGAAAGUUUAAGUAGAAUGAUAAUGAAUUUAUCACAGGGUGAAAAAUAGAUUUCUUGGGGUUUUUAGCAUGGGGGUUCAGGGGGCAAGAUGGAGGAACCUGAGCACGUCCAGCCUUUCUCCUUCUUCUUCUUGGCCUCCAUCUUCUGGGUGAUGUUGGCACUUUUAGAUUGGUUUAGAGUAGAAGCUCACUGUCUAACACAGGUGAUAGGUAUUGGGAAGUAAUUGUAAAUAAAGUACAGGUAGAUUUUAGUAUAAAAAGAUAA
rnacentral:lncRNA from 1 species